rnacentral:rRNA from 1 species
AGCGGAGGAAAAGAAACUAACUAGGAUUGCCCCAGUAGCGGCGAGUGAACAGGCAAAAGCUCAAAGUGAAAAUCCAAGGCACGAAGUUUUGGAAUUGUAAUCUAGAGAUUCGUUCGGAGGGGAUUGGGCGUGGCAUAAGUUCCUUGGAACAGGGCGUCAUAGAGGGUGAUAACCCCGUAGUCAGCUACGUCACGGAACCAACGAGCGUUUUCGAAGAGUCGGGUUGUUUGGGAUUGCAGCCCUAAAUGGGAGAUAAACUUCUUCUAAAGCUAAAUAUUUAUGGGAAACCGAUAGCGAACAAGUACUGCGAAGGAAAGAUGAAAAGAACUUUGAAAAGAGGGUUAAAAGACUUGAAAUCGUUGAGAAGAAAGUGGUAGAAGAGUAAUCAUUUGUGUACGAUAUCCGGAUGUGCUUGCCGGUUUUGUAGUGGUUUAGUACUUCAUAGGCUGUCCAUUGCAAACGCUUCGGCUCGUUAUUUGGUAUUCGUAUGCAAGAGGCAAAAUGAGGUUUGUUUCCAGGAGUCGUCUGUUUAGAAGACCCUCGUCUUCGGAUGGGGAGCUAGAUAGAAAAACUGGAGAUGAGC